AGCGAACGCUGGCGGCGUGCCUAACGCAUGCCAGUCGAACGUUAAAGGGAGCAAUCCCAAGUAAAGUGGCGUACGGGUGAGUAACACGUAGGUAAUCUACCCCAGAAUCUGGAAUAACCGGCCGAAAGGCUGGCUAAUACUGGAUAGAGCGACGGAAUCCGUAAUUGGGUUUUUCGGGAAAGGGAGCCUGUAAAAAGGCCUUCGUUCUGGGAUGAGCCUGCGUCCCAUCAGCUAGUUGGUGAGGUAAAAGCUUACCAAGGCAAUGACGGGUAGCUGGUCUGAGAGGACGGUCGGCCACACUGGAACGGAAACACGGUCCAGACUCCUACGGGAGGCAGCAGUGGGGAAUCUUGCGCAAUGGACGAAAGUCUGACGCAGCAACGCCGCGUGAGUGAAGAAGGCCUUCGGGUUGGAAAGCUCUGUCGAGUGGGACGAAAAUGCUUGGAGUUCAAAGCUCCAGGAACUGACGGUACCACUAAAGGAAGCACCGGCUAACUCCGUG
rnacentral:rRNA from 1 species